rnacentral:lncRNA from 1 species
AUGCACCUGUGUGCCUUUGGGGCUGGGGUGGGCACGGCUCAAUUUGCCCCAAGGUUCUGUGCGAAAGGGAUUGGUCUCACCAAAAUGCAGCCCUGUGAAGCACAAGAUGCCGAAGAAAACAGGGAACCUCUCCUCCCUGCUUUAUCCCAGGCUAUGGAGGAUUCCUCCAUGCCUUGUGAUGCAUUAAUAUUUUUUUUUUUUCCAGUGGUGGACCAUGGGUCCCCCCUGUCCGCAGGCAGCCGUUGUGCUCUGCCCCAGCCGGGCUGUUUUUUCCCCAAGCAGGUGUCGGGUGCGUGCCAUCGGGGUGCUGACUCUGUCUCCUGGCCAAGGAGCUGCAGGAGGAGAAAGCAAGCGCUGUUUGCUCCCCUUGUUUGCUUUCCUUCAUGCCGUGACACGCCGGGCAUCCCACGUGUGCUGCCCAUUGACCAGGCGGUGUUUUGUCUGCAGGGGAAGGCGGCGGCGGAGGUGCUGUGGGGAUGUUUGCAGAGGUCGGGACACCUCGGUCGGUGCCUCCGGCCCAUCUCCACAGCUCCUGCACCCCGCAGGGUGCAGGGCCAGGGGGUGAGUGUGCACCCUGAGCCGUGUCACCGUCCCCUCUGUGGCACAAGGCUCCUUUUCUCCUCCUGGGCUGCUUGCAGGGCACGCCAGGCACCCGCUGCACAUUCCCCACCCCGGGGAAUAGCUGGGAUUCUUGCAUUUCCUCCCCCAAAAUGGCACCAAAGGGAGCAGCAGCAGGCAGAGGAUGGAGUCCCUGAGCAGCAGGAACCCCCCGAGCUCCCCAGAGACUUUUCCAGCCACAAGGUGCAAGAAAUCACUGGCAGAGCUGCUUUUUGCACCAGCACCUCGGAGCUGGGGUGCUCCGCAACAGCUUUUGGUUUGGAGCCCUGCGAGGCUGCAGAUUCCCGGAGUGCCCACUCGCUGCUGUGCCCCGUGGUGACUGCCGUGAAGCCCCAGCUCCUGGCGCUGUGCCCUCUGCGGAGGAGCUUGGCUCUUGUUCAGGGCCUCACAGCACAGAGAUCGCAAGGGAGCACAGGGCAAAGAAACCCCAGCGGCACACACACAACUAAAACCCCUCUCGUGCUCGUUUUGCUUUUUCAGGAAGAAGCCUGGGGGAGAGGAUUGAGGGUUUUUUUUUCAGGCUGA